rnacentral:rRNA from 1 species
UACGUAGGGUGCAAGCGUUAAUCGGAAUUACUGGGCGUAAAGCGUGCGCAGGCGGUUAUGUAAGACCGAUGUGAAAUCCCCGGGCUCAACCUGGGAAUUGCAUUUGUGACUGCAUGGCUAGAGUGUGUCAGAGGGGGGUAGAAUUCCACGUGUAGCAGUGAAAUGCGUAGAUAUGUGGAGGAAUACCGAUGGCGAAGGCAGCCCCCUGGGAUAGCACUGACGCUCAUGCACGAAAGCGUGGGGAGCAAACAGG